UGGGCUGCGGGCAGUCGGUGCAGCUCCGGGGCCGGGAGCGGGCGGUGUGUUCGCUGCUCCUCCUGUCCAUGGCGAGAAGCGAGCUGGAGUCUGUGCGGGCCGUGGACGGGCCCUGCGUGCCCAACUGCUGCAGAGUGCUGCGGCUGCACGGCCGCAGCUUGCCCAGGUUUUCUGAGCAGCGUGAGUUCAACAAGCCAAAUGAUGACCGUGUUCUUCAUGUGGUGGCCAAGUGUGCCCAGGCAGUGAUGGAAGAAUUGGCGGCUAUUGUUACUGCUUAUGGGCUGAGUGAUGAAUACAGUUUUGUCUUCAAAUAGAAGAGUAGGUGGUUUAAAAGAAGAGCGAGGUAACAGCUGCUUUGAUGCUCCAUCUCUAAGCCUCUAGUUCUUUAGGUUUGUCUUUAUCUACAGACAGAAGUGAAGAGCUGGGCUGUGUUUGGGUGCAUACACUAUAUCUAAUUCAGGUUCUUCAUGUGAGGCUUUGCUCAUGAUCUUUCAGGAAAAUCUGUUCAGUGAUACAGAGAUUUAAAAACCAAAUUGAUGAUAGAAACAUUGGAAACAAACAUUGAUAGAAUAAACAUUCUUUUACCAAAUGUUACCUUUGCCAAAUUUCCUUGAUUCUCAGUACUUCCUGUUCUUUAAAAGACUCUGGUUGCUGCUCUGUUGGGCUAUUACUUAAGAAAUGCUGCUGCCCACCAGAACAAUAGGUACUUACACCUCCGAUAAUAGCAGCUACAAAUCACAUUGAUGUAUUUCUUUCUUUUUCCUUUUGCUUUGUGUUUGCAAGCAAGGUCAUGACUCGUGUGGUCUCCCAGUUUGCCUGAAGUUAUGUUUCCUAUUGGAAGGAUUACUUCAAGGACCAGCAGCUUCUGCACCCACCAGGAUUUGAUGCCAGGCUGGUAUCCCAGCCACUAGAAUUUAAAGGGCUACCUCAGCUGGAGACAAGCAGAAUGUGACUUUGGCUGGAGAUGAGAAUGAAGUACUCUUUUCUGCAUUCAACAUCAGCUACAACAAUGAACCUCUGAUGUACAGAGAAGGAACUGUCUGAGUAUGUGGCAAAAGGUUAAUGAAGUCAUGAGGAAGAAGGUGAAACUGCCAAAGGAAGCAGAAAGAAGAAGAGGACAGUUCAAAGCAGAGGAGAAAAUAAUACAUUUUUUUGUUUGUUUCCUUCAACUGUGAUGGGCCAGACUGGGAUCAUCAAACAGUGUGGGUUGGAAGGGGCCUUAAAGAUCAUUGUCCUGGGUUCAGCUGUAGCAGUCAUUUUUCUCCUUAGUAGCUGGUGCAGUGCUGUGUUUUUGGCUUUAGCCUGAGGACAGUGCUGGUAGCAUCAGCUGGAGCCAUGGGUGAGUUAAGUAACGUUCACUCCGAUCAAGGACUUUUCAGUCUUUUCCUCUGUCAGUGAGGAGGGGCACGAGAAGCCAGGAGGAAGCGGAGGCAGGACAUGGGACCGAAACCAGCCAAAGGAGUACGAACGACAGCACGUCAUGGCCACUAUAUAAACUGGAGAGAGGUGCCUGGAAGGCCCAGAUGGCUGCUGAGGUUGGGCUGGGUAUGGGGUGGUGGGUGGUUGUAUUCUCACCCCUUGUUAUUUCCCUUCUCAUUCUUGUUACUGGGGGCAGCAGUAGUGGUUUUGUAUUAGAGCUGUCUCUGGGGCCCCCCUUCUCUCUGUCUCUUAGUGGGGCCCCCCUUCUGCCUGUCUCUUAGCGGGGCCCCCCUUCUGCCUGUCUCUUAGGGGGGCCCCCUUCUGCCUGUUUCUUAGCGGGGCCCCCCUUCUGUCUGUCUCUUAGCAGGGCCCCCCUUUCUGUCUGUCUCAUUGUGGGGCCCCACUUUUGUCUGUCUCAUGGCGGGGCCCCCCUUCUGUCUGUCCCUUUGUGAGGGCCUCCCGUCUUUCUUUUUCCAGGGCCACUGUCUGUCUCUUACCACCAGUAAUAAAAAUGAUAAGGGAAAUAAUGAGGUGAGACAAUACAAUUGUUCUCCACACGCUGACCACUACCCAGCCCAACCCAAGCAGUGAUCUGGGCUUUCUGGGUACCUCCCUUCAGUUUAUACACUAGCCAUGAUGUGCCUGUGGUAUGGAAUACCCCUUUCCCUAGCUUGGGUCUGGUGUCUGGUCUCUCCUUCUUCCCAGCUUCUCAUGCCACUCCUCACUGGCAGAGCAUGAGACUGAACCCCCUGAUAGGAGUAAAAGUGACUUUAACACACCCAUGUCUUCGCUGAUUGCUGUCGGCAUUGUUCUAAGACUGGAGUCGAAAUCGCAGCACUGCACCAGCUACUAAGAAGGAGACAAACGAUUGCUACAGCUGAACCGAGGACAGUCAUUCAGGUCCAACCCCUGCCAUGCGGAGGGACACUUCCCACUUGAGCAGCUUGGUCUAAGUCCCAUCUGAGACAAGGGGGUGGCACAAAAUUCCCAAAUGGAAUCUAUAAAACUUUAGAACCAGUUUUAAGCAAUGUUAAGUUUGAUGGCUUUGUAACAGUAGCAAUGGAAAUUUACUCAGGUGCCUGAUGCACAGAAAAACAAAUCGAGUGCAGCUGGAGAACAGCCUGAGGGUUCUUGGACAAGAUGAACCGUUACAGUUGAUGUUGUUUUAGACCCUGUGACCUUAGUACAAAAUGAAUGUAAGAAGAAGAGGCUCGAAGAACAGGAUCCAAGGCUGAGGAGUAUCUGGGAAUGGCAGGGGUCCAGGAUGGGCUGCAGAGAAGUAGAAGGGCAAGAGGAUUGUUACGCCUGUGAUGUUAAUGAACCAAUGAAGCUGGUGUGAGCAUCUACUGCGCGUGCUUCAAAGGCUGCCAGAAGGGAUGAAGAUUGUUGGAAGAAGUAAAGGACCCUCAGAGCCCAGCACCACAAUUCUGUGCACAGGUGGGGAACUCUCUGGAAAAUAAUGUAAUCCAUACGUGGCCUCAUGACUAUGUAUGUAUGCCCAGGGACUCUAUAAGGAUGGCUUGUGGAGCAAGAUGGGGACUCACGUUAGGAGGAGCUCUCCCCCGUGUCUCCUGGCGCCCCAAUGAAGAAUACCUGCUUGUCAGCUUGGAAGCUUUGUUGGCAAGUUUGUGCCUGGAGUUUUCUCCCAGUCACAUCCGACCUGGCCUUGAACCCUGACAGGGAUGGGGCAGAAUACUUCAGCUGGCAUUUAGUAUGGAAUUCCAAGGCUCCUGUGUUUAAUUGGAUCAGUGCUAAGCUGUUUGAGUGCUUCCUGUCUCUGCUGCUUACACAGAGGGAGUAGCCCAGCAGUUGUCUGUGAUUUUCAAAGCUUUGGUCAAAUGUACAGGGUUUUUUGUGCUUUUAAAAAAUAAAAAUAAUCAUUUCU